rnacentral:rRNA from 1 species
AGAGUUUGAUCCUGGCUCAGGACGAACGCUGGCGGCGUGCCUAAUACAUGCAAGUCGAGCGAGCUUGCCUAGAUGAUUUUAGUGCUUGCACUAAAUGAAACUAGAUACAAGCGAGCGGCGGACGGGUGAGUAACACGUGGGUAACCUGCCCAAGAGACUGGGAUAACACCUGGAAACAGAUGCUAAUACCGGAUAACAACACUAGACGCAUGUCUAGAGCUUGAAAGAUGGUUCUGCUAUCACUCUUGGAUGGACCUGCGGUGCAUUAGCUAGUUGGUAAGGCAACGGCUUACCAAGGCAAUGAUGCAUAGCCGAGUUGAGAGACUGAUCGGCCACAUUGGGACUGAGACACGGCCCAAACUCCUACGGGAGGCAGCAGUAGGGAAUCUUCCACAAUGGACGAAAGUCUGAUGGAGCAACGCCGCGUGAGUGAAGAAGGGUUUCGGCUCGUAAAGCUCUGUUGGUAGUGAAGAAAGAUAGAGGUAGUAACUGGCCUUUAUUUGACGGUAAUUACUUAGAAAGUCACGGCUAACUACGUGCUAGCAGCCGCGGU